GACGAACGCUGGCGGCGUGCCUAAUACAUGCAAGUCGAGCGAAUCUUUAGGAGCUUGCUCCUGAAGGUUAGCGGCGGACGGGUGAGUAACACGUGGGCAACCUGCCUGUAAGACUGGGAUAACACCGGGAAACCGGUGCUAAUACCGGAUAAUUCUUUUCCUCACAUGAGGGAAAGCUGAAAGUCGGUUUCGGCUGACACUUACAGAUGGGCCCGCGGCGCAUUAGCUAGUUGGUGAGGUAACGGCUCACCAAGGCGACGAUGCGUAGCCGACCUGAGAGGGUGAUCGGCCACACUGGGACUGAGACACGGCCCAGACUCCUACGGGAGGCAGCAGUAGGGAAUCUUCCGCAAUGGACGAAAGUCUGACGGAGCAACGCCGCGUGAGUGAUGAAGGCCUUCGGGUCGUAAAACUCUGUUGUUAGGGAAGAACAAGUAUCGGAGUAACUGCCGGUACCUUGACGGUACCUAACCAGAAAGCCACGGCUAACUACGUGCCAGCCGCCGCAGUAACAC
rnacentral:rRNA from 1 species